rnacentral:rRNA from 1 species
UACGAGAGGCCCAAACGUUAUUCGGAAUUACUGGGCUUAAAGAGUUCGUAGGCGGCGCAGAAAGUAGGGUGUGAAAGCCCUCGGCUCAACCGAGGAAUUGCGCUCUAAACUACUGUGCUUGAGGAAGCUAGAGGUGAGCAGAACUGAUAGUGGAGCGGUGAAAUGCGUUGAUAUCAUCAGGAAUACCGGAGGCGAAGGCGGCUCACUGGGGCUUUUCUGACGCUGAGGAACGAAAGCCAGGGUAGCGAACGGG